UAUGGGACAUUUUCAUGCAACUUUUUCGCCCGCUGUACGAAUAUCGUAAAUCCGAUUGCUAAGAAAAGUCAUAGCACACCUCUCCUCAAUAAGCCGCACGUUUUGACAUCUCAUUCAUGGGUCUGCGACAAAAAAUGCGGGAGGAGUAGCGCGCCAAAGUUUUGUCAAGGCGAAUAGUAAUAGUAACACUAGAAGGUACAUUUCCUGAAGAAAAUGUGAGUGGUGCUUGCAGUGGCAAAACUCGCCCCUCUGUUUCUAGGGUGUGGUUGCUAGGGUACCCGGGGUGGUUGCUAGGGCGGUUGCUAGGGUCCCCAUGAUGGUUGCUAGGGCCGUUGCUAGGGUACCCAGGGUGGUUGCUAGGGUAAUCGGGGUGGUUGCUAGGGUGUUGCUAUGUGGUUGCUAGGGUACCAGGGGUGGUUGCUAGGGCGGUUGCUAGGGUCCCCAUGAUGGUUGCUAGGGCCGUUGCUAGGGUACCCAGGGUGGUUGCUAGGGUAAUCGGGGUGGUUGCUAGGGUGUUGCUAUGUGGUUGCUAGGGUACCAGGGGUGGUUGCUAGGGCGGUUGCUAGGGUCCCCAUGAUGGUUGCUAGGGCCGUUGCUAGGGUACUCAGGGUGGUUGCUAGGGUAAUCGGGGGUGGUUGCUAGGGUGUUGCUAUGUGGUUGCUAGGGUACCCGGGGUGGUUGCUAGGGCGGUUGCUAGGGUCCCCAUGAUGGUUGCUAGGGCCGUUGCUAGGGUACCCAGGGUGGUUGCUAGGGUAAUCGGGGCGGUUGCUAGGGUGUUGCUAUGUGGUUGCUAGGGUACCCGGGGUGGUUGCUAGGGCGGUUGCUAGGGUCCCCAUGAUGGUUGCUAGGGCCGUUGCUAAGGUACCCAGGGUGGUUGCUAGGGUAAUUGGGGCGGUUGCUAGGGUGUUGCUAUGUGGUUGCUAGGGUACCCAGGGUGGUUGCUAGGCAGUUGCUAUGGUCUCCUGGGUGGUUGCUAUGAUGUUACUAGGUGGUUGGUAGUUGUCACAGAUGGUCACUAUGUAGUUAUUAUAGAGUUCUUAGCCCAUUUGAGCACUUAGCUAAUCACUAUUAGCAUGUAGCUAAUCACUGCUAGCAUGACUAGCAUGUUGGAAGUCCAGUGUGCUAGCAUGAGUCAAAAAAUCCAACCGCCAUGUCUGUACGAUGUUCUGAUGCAGAGAUAUAGGUCGUGCAAAACGGUUGCUAGGGUACUCCGUUUGGUUGCUAUGGAGUGGCUUGGCAGCUGCCAAUGGUGAUACUCCAAAGGCUGCUCGCCAAUAUAAACCAACCCCCAUGCCUCUACGAUGUUCUGAUGCAGAGAUAUAGAUCUUGCAAAACGGUUGCUAGGGUACUGUGUUUGGUUGCUAGGGAGUGGCCUGGCAGCUGCCAAUGAUGAUACUCCAAUGGUUGCUUGCUAAUAUAAACCAACCCCCAUGCUUCUAUGUCUUUCAGAUGUUAAGAUAUCUCUCUAUACUGUGGGUUGCUAGGUAGCUCUUAAUGGUUGCUAGGGCGUGGCUAGGUUGUCUUGAAGGAGAUACAUGAUUGGCCGUUUGCUGCCCGAGUCAAACGAGCCCACCCUCAUGUUUCUAUGACACUUCUAUCCAAAGUUAUUCAUUUGAUCUUUUUCAAUGGAAGUCUAUGGGGCUUGUUGCUAUGGCGCUCUAUAUGGUUGCUAGGGCGUGGCUUGAUAGCUUCAUAAUGAUCCUGAGAGUCUGAUUGGUUGCCUGAUUAAAAUGAGCCCACCCCCUUGUCUCUAUGACACUGUGAUCCAGAGUUAUGUUCAAUACAAAAUCCCUAUGUAAUGUCCCACAGUAGGAAAAGCCCUCCCUAUACUUUGUAUUAGGGGCAAAUUUGGGGGGCUCUAGCCCCCCAGGGGUACAACUUAUACCCCAAUGCGGGGUAUGUUCUUGCACAGCCUGAUAACCUCUCCACAUGUGGUGAUUCACGUGUUUCUGCGAAAUUUUCUCUCGGAGCUACGAUCCGUCAAAGUUGGCCGCAAUGCAUUGUCUAUGCGAUUUUUCGCCCGUUUUUUCGCCCGGUGUACGAACAUCGUACGCCCGAUCGCUUAUAAAAGUCAUAGCACACCAUUCCCGAUUAGGCCGCACGAUUUGACGCCUGUUUCGUUGGUCUGUGACAAAAACUGCGGGACUAGUUACGCGCCGAAAUUUGUACGGAAGAAUAAUAAUAAUAAGUAUAAGAAUAAUAAG